AGAGUUUGAUCCUGGCUCAGGACGAACGCUGGCGGCGUGCUUUAUACAUGCAAGUCGAACGAUGAAGUUCCUUCGGGAAUGGAUUAGUGGCGAACGGGUGAGGAACACGUGAGAAACCUGCCUUUCAUUCUGGGAUAACACCGGGAAACCGGUGCUAAUACCGGAUACUCCAUCUUGGCGGCAUCGCCGAGCUGGGAAAAAAUUUUGAUGAAAGAUGGUCUCGCGGCCUAUCAGCUAGUUGGUGAGGUAAAGGCUCACCAAGGCGACGACGGGUAGCCGGCCUGAGAGGGCGACCGGCCACACUGGGACUGAGACACGGCCCAGACUCCUACGGGAGGCAGCAGUAGGGAAUAUUGGGCAAUGGGCGAAAGCCUGACCCAGCGACGCCGCGUGAGGGAUGAAGGUCUUCGGAUUGUAAACCUCUUUCAGUAGGGAAGAAGCGAAAGUGACGGUACCUAAAGAAGAAGCACCGGCUAACUAUGUGCCAGCAGCCGCGGUAAUACAUAGGGUGCAAGCGUUGUCCGGAAUUAUUGGGCGUAAAGAGCUCGUAGGUCGUUUGUCGCGUCGAUUGUGAAAAUCUGAGGCUCAACCUCAGACCUGCAGUCGAUACGGGCAAACUAGAGUGUGGUAGGGGAGACUGGAAUUCCUGGUGUAGCGGUGGAAUGCGCAGAUAUCAGGAGGAACACCAAUGGCGAAGGCAGGUCUCUGGGCCAUAACUGACACUGAGGAGCGAAAGUGCGGGGAGCGAACAGGAUUAGAUACCCUGGUAGUCCGCACCGUAAACGGUGGGCACUAGUUGUGGGAACCUUCCACGGUUUCCGCGACGCAGCAAACGCAUUAAGUGCCCCGCCUGGGGAGUACGAUCGCAAGAUUAAAACUCAAAGGAAUUGACGGGGCCCCGCACAAGCAGCGGAGCAUGCGGCUUAAUUCGACGCAACGCGAAGAACCUUACCAAGGCUUGACAUAUAGUGAAAAGUGGCAGAGAUGUCAUGUCCGCAAGGGCGCUAUACAGGUGGUGCAUGGUUGUCGUCAGCUCGUGUCGUGAGAUGUUGGGUUAAGUCCCGCAACGAGCGCAACCCUCGUUCUGUGUUACCAGCAUUAAGUUGGGGACUCACAGGAGACUGCCGGGGUCAACUCGGAGGAA
rnacentral:rRNA from 1 species